rnacentral:rRNA from 1 species
CAGAUCAGCAUGCUGCGGUGAAUACGUUCCCGGGCCUUGUACACACCGCCCGUCACACCAUGGGAGUCGGUAACACCCGAAGUCGGUAGUCUAACCGAAAGGAGGACGCCGCCGAAGGUGGGAUUGAUGACUGGGGUGAAGUCGUAACAAGGUAAC